rnacentral:lncRNA from 1 species
UUUGUUUUGUUUUGUUGUUUUUUUUUUUUUAAAGAAAGGUAGCACGCUUCCUACUUCAUUUAUUCAGAGAGUGAAUUGGGCUACAUGGGUCAGGCAACGAAGCCUCUAGGGAGAUGAAAAAAAAAAGAAAAGAAAACUCAGUCUCUGCACAGGACGAAUAUUCCCCCACAGGAUCGUCAACUGAUUGAUUAAGAAACAACCACGGACUGGAUUAGGCUCGGUCUUUCUAAAGAUUGCUCCAUUUCUGGUCUCCCAAACAAUCCACCAGCAGGCUAUCAAUCCAGGCAGCCCGUU